ACGUCACGGCAAAGACGGAAAUUGAGUGGCCGUGAGCGAGUGCGCGGACACCGGCCGCCAUCUUGAGAAUUUAACUUUGGUAAGCGUUUGAGAGACCGUUAUAGCCUUUAAGAUGUAUUUUUGCGUUUUAUUUGGUUCUCAAGUGUGCAUUUGGAAUUAAAUUGAGGCUACACGCCAGAUUAUGGUAGCAGGAAAGAAUCAUUUGGCAUGUGUCCUCAGGCUAUUUUAGUUAGAUUUUCCUGCUUGUCUUAAUGCUUUAUAAAGGUCAGGUAAGAUUACAGUGACAGCACAGUCAUGGAGCAAUGUGUGAAAAUAUCCAAAGAUGGGAUUUCCCAACCGACAUUUCACAACAGCUCCUCAGGUGGAAAAUUGAUUUCCAAGCCAAAACCGCACUUCAGUCACCUCUGUCCUCAUCCUGUUGACUAAUUUUAAGGCAAGGUGCUUGAUUAGUUCAGUGAAAUAUAUGAACGAGCUGUUACAAGCUCCUCUUCUUUUUUUCCUUCAUAAUAUUUGUUUACCUCAUCGGGCGCAGCCAUCAACAAGUGGAGCCAGACAGAUGGUGCUUGACUUGAUGGCUGCGUGUAUCUCCAGGCUAUAAAACUGUCAGAAAAUCUGGAGAUGCGUUCAUGCCACUUCUUGCACACACUUCUUUUUUCCCCUCGGUUGUCAUAACACAUCCCCCUGCGGCACAGGGAAGCGCCAAAUGAAGGCCCCUGUCAACUCAUAGCGGUCCACAAAGGAGCAUUUACCACUCCACCCACCCCAUCUCAAGGUCGCGGGGUUCUUUUCUUUCUUUCUUUUGGUCUGUCUUUCUUUAUCUUUCAGGCCCCGAGGAAAGGAUGAGAUGAGCUUACUGCUUCACCUCCACACCUGAGCACCAUGGGCACAAGCCACUGUCCAGACUGCAGGGAGACCAUCGACUCCACUUUGAAGCCACUGUGACGAGACGCUGAAUGAGAGCAAAAACGGGGCCUGUCAGAACCUUGCCUAGCCUGGCCCGGCUGCCCGGAGUUCUGCUGGGAAAAAAACCACAACGGGACUAUUUGCAAAUGUCUGUCCGUCUCUGUGAGUGAUGGGGAGAAGAGACACUGUAACGUUCUCCCGAGGUCACAAGUUCGAAACCCCCCUGACCCACACUAAUAUUGCUCACCCCCACCCGCUUUUGGGUCCUACCUCUCUUCAGGAGACUCCCCCGGCCAUCCAGGCUGCAGUUCCAGCGCUCGUUGCGGAACUGGUAGCGGCACUCGAGCAAGCUGAGGCGCACGGACUCGCGCAGCGUCUCGGCCAGGCCGGGUUCGCGUCGACACAGCCUCUUCUGCCGCCGAGACAGCACCAUCUGCUCGCACUGCUUCAGGUUUGCUGACCCAAAGUAAGCUGCGCCGUGCGACAGGAGGAUGCAGAGUGCAACGAGGCGCAGUAGGCAGGCGGUCCGCGGGAGCCUGGAGCGCAUGCUGCCGGCUCGGUUCUGCUCUUCAUCGCGCUGAUUCUGCCCAAGGAGAAAGUCCGAGCCUCGUUGGCCGGCGCGCCUCUUUAAGGUGAGGUGCCCUCCCACAGUGAGCGCCACCCAGGUGGAUGCAGCUGCAAAAGGGGAGCUCGUUUACCUGUGCACCACCACCACCUCCGCGUAAACAACAAAAAAACAUCACGG